rnacentral:misc_RNA from 1 species
GUGAAUCAUCAAAUCUUUGAACGCAAAUUGCGCUCUCUUCUGAGAGGAUGCCUGUUUGAGGUUCAGCCUAAAAAAAAUCGACAUAGUUGCUGUUUUGCGGUGACAGUCGUCGGUAGUUGGGUCAUCUUACACCUUUGGGUUUUAAGCGUCUUCAAAUUUUCUUUACUAUGCUACGAACUUUUCUAAGAUUUACUUCUUACUUUUAAUUUAUCGUGUUUUAUUAUUCUUGUCCGUUGCAUCGGGUUACUUCCAUACAUAUUUCGGUAAC